rnacentral:lncRNA from 1 species
GGGAAUACAACAAGAAUAUGCAUAUGAAUAAUCAAGGAUUAAGCUAUGGUUUAUUUGCAGUAAAGCUGAGUUUUAGACACAUGCAGGGUUCCAUUUCAAAGAAGUUUCAUGAAAACAUUUUAGUAAACGAUAUAUCAAGUGGGGUUGAUCCUACACAAAGGAUCCAAGUUUUAUCGCUACCGGACUCCCCGUCCGCCGUAGCGCACGGCACACCUGCUGGACACUUCCAAAAUUCCACAUACCCACACACGCAGUAAAAUACCAGUCAUCCCAAAAGCUAGUUGUGUGACCAAGCCGUAACUCGUCCAAUGCCGUGGACACGGCUACCCGGAUAGGUUUUAACUCUGCAGAGGUUGUACCCUUUUCCCACAAGUAGGGUACCGUAUCGCGAUCACCUUAGUGUCGGUACGGAUCCUAACAAAGCCAUUACCCACCUUAGCCAACACUGACUAGUCAACACGGAAGCGCUCAAGGGGUUAGCAACCCAUCCACAGGGCCGAAACCGGGACCUAAGUCACCAAGAGCUUAGUCCUUUUCCAAGGCCUCCCGUUGCUCACCAGCACACCUGAAGCCUAGCAGUUUAGCUAGUGGGGUUUAUGCUAAGCCGUUGCCCAUACAACGGUCGAGUGGUUGUACGAUGAUGGAAUUAGGCAGGAUGACACAUCAACUCGGUCCUUAGCCAUGACAAGAUGGAUAUCUCCCACUCUGCUCAACCACUGAGGUACGAGCCCAACAACCCGGUAUUCCACACAAGAAACACCUAUCCAUCUCAUCCACCACCUCUCUUUACACCCGAAUAACCAACUCCUCAGUUAAACAUACUCACACAUUUAUUUUCCGAGUAAACAGGUGUAGUCAUGUUUGAAUUUGGAUAAUGAGUUCCUAAGCAUUCUAGUAGUAUUUAUCAUCUAAACAGAGCAUCUCAUAUUUAGAGAUAAAUAUGGGACAACAAGGAAUAGUCAUAACAAUCAAGGGGUGGCUAUCCAACCAUGUCUUGCGAUAAAACAGUAUGCAUUUUAAAACAGGCCAAUAGGUUGUGUCUGAAAAACUGGGUAUUAAAUAUGCAUCAAAGGGUGAGAUUGGACUUGCCGUUCUCAAAGCCUCCCGGGAGCUCCUGCUCGCGGUACUGGUCCUCGGGCUCGGGCUCGCGGUCGAACUCCUCCUCGCGCUCCUCCUCGGGUACUCCACGAUCUACGGCACACACAAACGAGCACACAAUAAAUAAAAAGGAAAAGAUUUUACUCGUUGAGCUCCGAACAGGAAAUAUGAACGGAAAAUAGGUAGGAGGAGUAUUUUCAUGGAAUUUUGAUAUGCCUCGGCGGAGACAUAUGAGAGGAGGCCAUGGUCGAAUUUGGGAUUGAUUGGAGGAAAUUUGGCGCAUGAAAUGACGGUUUAAAGGAGUAUUAGGGGCUUUAAAAUGAGGUUUAGGACUGAACCGCGAGAGCAGGGGCCUAUAUGUAAUUAUUUUUGGAAUGGUGGGAGGACUUGUUCGCGAAUCAGGGAAAUUGGUGGGUUGGAUCGCGAGGAGAGGGAUUUACCCCUUCUUCUUCCUGGAGACAACAGGAGGUGGAGGAAGAGGUGGCCGUCGGCGUUCUGGUGGUGGAAGUGGAGGAAGGCAAGGUGCUCGUGGUGAGGAUGUGGAGGUGCGGGGCUCGGCUCCCCCCUUUUAUAGGCGGCGCACGGGCGGGCGAGGGCCGAGGCAAUGAUGGCGGCCGGACCUUUGGCCGGUGGCAUGCCGGAGUGGUGGAGCUCGUGGAUGGCGUGGCGGCGUGGUCGACAAGGCCACAGGAGCGGUGACCGGCGACCGGCGACACGACGCGACGCACCGAGCCAAGCGCUAGACGCCAAGGCGCGAGCGGGCGUGGCACGGGCGACGUGACGCGGCGCGGGCACGGCGCGGCGGCGGCGCGGCGACGCGCGGCGCGGGGCGGGGCGGCGCGACGGCGCGCGGCGCGGCGCGGGGUGGGGUGGCGCGACGGCGCGCGGCAUGGCGCGGCGCGGGCGGGCGCGGCGCGCGUGCCAGGCAGUGGGGGGGUGUGCAGCGCAAGUGGGAAGGUGGCAGGGGAGUAAAGGAGAGAGAGAAGAAAGAGGAAGGGAGAGGAGGAAGAAAGAGAAGGAAAAAGGAGAAGGGAAAGAAAAAGGGGAAAAAGAAAGAAGGAAGAGAAGGGAGAAAAGGGAGGGAAAAAGAUGGCGGAAAUUGCGGGAUUCGACUGCGCGCGGUGACAGACUUGACGGGCAUGCGGCGAAAAUUACGGGGAGCGGAAAAAGGAGAGUUGACGAGCCGGGGCCAGGACGGCGGGUCCGACGGAAGGGAAAGGAUUUGACGGAGCUCGGCGGUCGGAAAAAUUUUGGAAAGUAUUUUUAACGAGUGAUUUAACUGGGUGUAUUUUACGGGCGUUACAAACCUACCCCACUUAAAUUGAAUCUCGUCCUCGAGAUUUGGCUGAGUCCUGAACAGAUGGGGAAAUUCCUUCUUUAACGCAUCCUCGCGUUCCCAAGUGGCUUCUUCCUCACCAUGCCUACUCCAUUGGACUCUGCAAAUCCGCACUGCUGAAUUCCUUGUCCUUCUGGUGACAGUGUCCAGAAUCUUGACGGGUACCUCCUGAUAUCGCAGAUCCUUCUGCAAAUCUAUGGUUUCCACCGGUACUUGCUCCUCUGGUACUCUCAGGCAUUUUCUUAGCUGGGACACAUGAAAUACCGGGUGGAUGUCCGACAUUUCUUCGGGCAACUGAAUACGGUAGGCUACCGCUCCAACUCUUUUUAGCACCUUGUAUGGUCCGAUAUACCGAGGGGCCAGUUUUCCUUGCACUUGGAACCUUCAGGUACCUCGAAUCGGAGAGACCUUAAGGUACACGAAGUCCCCCUCAUUGAAAAUCAACUCUCGUCUCCUUUUAUCUGAGUAGCUCUUCUGUCUAGACUGUGCUGCUUUCAACUUCUCUCGUAUUUCAGCUACUCGCUCUUCUGCUUCCUUAAUAAAGGCAGGUCCUACCAGGGUGCGCUCUCCCACUUCCGACCACAUCAACGGGGUCCUGCACUUUCUUCCAUAGAGGGCCUCAAACGGUGACAUGCCUAAGCUGUCUUGGUAACUGUUGUUGUAUGAGAACUCUGCAUAUGGUAGACUUUGUUCCCAAUCCUUGCCAUAGGUAAGGACACAUGCCCUCAACAUGUCUUCCAUGAUCUGAUUUACUCUCUCUGUUUGGCCAUCGGUCUGGGGGUGAUAAGCUGAACUAAAGUCCAAUCUGGUGCCCAUAGCCUUAUGAAGACUCUUCUAGAAUCUAGAGGUGAAUUGGGUCCCUCUAUCCGAAACAAUUCUGCUAGGUACACCAUGCAACUUCACUAUGUUGUCCACAUAGAGCCGAGCUAGCUUUUCUCCACCAUAGGUGGUCCGUACGGGCAAGUAGUGGGCAACCUUAGUGAGUCGGUCCACUAUCACCCAUAUGGAGUCAUUCCCUUUUUGAGUCUUGGGCAAUCCUACUACAAAAUCCAUGCCAAUCUCGUCCCAUUUCCAAACCGGAAUGGGCAGUGGUUGCACUAACCCUGCUGGCUUCUGAUGUUCGGCCUUAACCCUUUGGCAAAUAUCGCAAUGAGCGACGAACUGGGCUAUGUCCGCUUUCAUCCCAUUCCACCAGUACUUCUGCUUUAAGUCCAUGUACAUCUUGGUGGAUCCCGGGUGGAUGGAAUAUGCCGAGUUAUGGGCCUCAUCCAUAAUGGUUUGCCGGAAUUCACCUUCCUUGGGUACACAAAUCCUAUUCUUGUACCACAAGGUUCCCUUUUCAUCCACUCUGAAGUCUGGGGCUUUAUUUUCUCCGGUUUGCCUGGGAAUCCUUACCAGGUUCGGGUCCGAGCCUUGGGCCUCUCGGAUUCUUUCUUCCAGGGUGGGCUGAACACUUAGCUUGCGGCUGGUAUUCUGAGGAAUGAUAUGCACAUUUAAUCGGGCCAUUUCCUCUUGUAAGUGGGGGUCCUUGGGUCCGAUCUGCCCAUAGGAUUUCCUGCUUAAUGCAUCCGCUACCACAUUGGCCUUACCGGGGUGGUAGUGAAUUUCCAUAUUAUAAUCCUUGACCAACUCUAACCAUCUUCUUUGCCUUAAAUUCAGAUCUGGUUGGGUGAAGAUAUAUUUUAGGCUCUUGUGGUUAGUGUAAAUCUCACACUUUUUUCCGAUCAAGUAGUGCCUCCAGAUCUUGAGGGCAUGCACUACGGCUGCAAAUUCCAAGUCAUGGGUGGGGUAAUUUUGUUCGUGGGGCUUAAGUUGACGGGAGGCAUAUGCUACUACCUUCCCAUCCUGCAUCAGGACACACCCUAACCCUUGUCGAGAAGCGUCACAAUAAAUGACGAAGUCCCGCUGGAUAUCCGGUAGGGUUAACACUUGGGCGGUCGUUAAUCUUCUCUUCAGUUCCUGAAAACUCCUCUCACAUGACUCAGUCCAAUUGAAUUUCUUAUCCUUCCUGAGUAGCUCUGUCAUAGGUCGGGCUAUCUUGGAGAAUCCUUCAAUGAACCUCCGAUAAUACCCAGCUAAACCCAGAAAACUCCUGAUUUCACUAACAUUGGUGGGUUGCUGCCAGUUGGAGAUGGCUUCCACCUUCUCGGGGUCAACUGCUACUCCUUCUGCGGUCAAGAUGUGACCAAGAAAUGCCACCUUCUCUAGCCAGAAUUCACAUUUACUGAAUUUAGCAUAGAGUCGGUGGGCUCUCAAUCUCUCCAGCACUACUCGCAGAUGUUGCUCAUGCUCUUGGACACUUUUGGAGUAAAUAAGUAUGUCGUCGAUAAAGACCACGACAAACUUGUCUAACUCCUCCAUAAACACCUUGUUCAUGAGAUUCAUGAAAUAAGCAGGGGCAUUGGUCAGUCCAAAGGACAUCACUGUGAAUUCAAACUGGCCAUAUCGGGUAACAAAAGCUGUCUUCGGGAUAUCACUUUCCUUAAUCUUGAGCUGGUGGUACCCUGAUCUCAAAUCUAUUUUGGAGAAAUACUUGGCUCCUUUUAACUGGUCAAAUAGGUCAUCUAUUCUGGGAAGGGGGUAUUUAUUCUUGAUGGUGACCUCAUUUAGUGCGCGAUAAUCCACGCACAUCCUCAUGCUUCCAUCUUUCUUCUUGACAAAGAGCAGUGGGGCUCCCCACGGGGAUGAGCUAGGUCUGAUAAAGCCACUCUGCUGCAGUUCACCUAGCUGUUUCUUCAGCUCUGCUAACUCAAAUGCUGCCAUUCUAUAGGGCCUCUUGGCUAUAGGGGAGGUUCCAGGGAUAAGGUCAAUCACAAACUCUAUAUCCCUGUCCGGGGGCAUUCCAGGUAGUUCUUCAGGGAAAACAUCCGGGUAUUCACUCACUAUCGGGACUCCUUCUAAGGCCUUGGCUUCCAUGCUAAAAACCAUUGGGUCGGGCCCACUUCCACGGGUGUGGUAGGUCACUUGUACGCCAUCCUGAUUAAUUAGGCGCACUACCUUAUCAGCACAUCCUAUGUGUCCAUCAUGUAGGCUUAACCAAUCCAUUCCAAGGAUCAUAUCUAUUCCUUUCGACUUAAGUACUACUAGAUCUGCUAGGAAUUCUACCCCACUUAAAUUGAUCCUUACCCGGGAACAACCUAGUCGACACUGGAUGUCGGCUCCAGGCGUCCAGGUUAUUAGGGGUACCUUUAGUAGUACUGUAGGUAUGUGGUGCUUAUCCACAAAGCUUGAUGAUAUAAAUGAAUGUGAUGCUCCAGAAUCGAAGAGUACUGUUGCCAAAACUGAGCUGACUAGAAACUCACCGAGUACAACGCCCUGAGCUUCCUGAGCCUCUUGCACGCUGAUGUGGUUGACGCGGGCUCGUCCAAACGACUGCUGGGGCUGCCUCAUCUGCUGGCUGUUGUUGUUGUUGUUGCCGGGGUUGUUGCUGCGGACGGGAACACGGUUGGCUCCUGACACUGCUACCCUUGGCCCAGUCACUGCGUUGGAGAAGGCUGAUGCAGCUGGCUUGUUAGCGUAGGGGCAGUUGGCAAUGAAGUGCCCUGGCUCACGGCAGUUGAAGCAUGCCCUGCCGUUGUUGGUGACUUGACUGGCGCUGUUCUGCGGGGCCUUGACAGGGUUCUGGCUUCUGAAUGGGGCAUUGGUCUGAUGGGAACCGGAGGCUUGAGACUGGGUCCGGUACUGCAUGGGAGCUUGGGACCUGGGCAUGGGGUAACCAAAGCUUCUUGGUUUCUGGAACCUAUCCUGCUGGUGGGCCUUGCUGUCCAGGAACCGGCACUUGUUGUCCCUUCUUUCAUCUGCCUUGGCUCUCUCAGUCAGAAUGGCCAUGUUCAUCAGGGUGUUGAAGUCAGGGUAGAUCUGAGGAGUAAGCAGGGUCCUCAGUUCUGCAUUCAAGCCCUUCUUGAACAUGUCUUGCUUCUUCUCAUCCUUGUCUACUUCUUCUGGAGCAUAGCGGGCCAACUCCAUGAACUGAUAGGUGUACUCCUCCACGGACUUGUUGCCCUGGCGCAGUUCACGGAAUUCAUCCGCCUUGCGCUUGAUGGUAGCCGCAGGAAUGUGAUAGCGGCGGAACUCUGUCACAAACUCAUCCCAGGUGAUAGUAGAGGCAUCCUGGGCGGCUGUGCAGUAGUUCUCCCACCAGGCUAAAGCAGUCCCAGUGAGCUGGUGUGCAGCCAGGAGAACCUUGUCCCUGCUCUCAUAGCCCAAUGGCUCUAGCUUCCUCUGAAUGACCCGCAGCCAGUCAUCUGCGUCCAGGGGGUUGAUGGACCCGCCAAAAGUGGGUGGCUUGGUGCGGAGGAAGUCUGUCAGUUUCUCAUUCAUACCCUGUCCGCGGGGCCUCUAGCGAGUGAUGGUAUUGGCCAAGGCUUCCAGCAGAAGGGUCUGGUUGUUCAUGACUUGUACCAAAUCAAUGACCGGUGGGGGCGGUGGCUCCUGUGCUCCCACUUGACUUUCCCCCUGCCCUCGGGCUGAUUCACCUCUUGCUCCUCAUGGUGCACUAUUGGUGGGGGUCCCUGCCUUUCCUGCUGCCUUUCCGCACUAGGAGUGGCACGUGCUUGACUCGGGGAGGUCCUGGUGGCACGCUUGGGAGGCAUCUGCAAAUUGAGUGAACUUUCAUGAGACUUGGAUUUGGAUAUUAAGGUAAUGUUUAGUUAAUUAUUUCGAAUUUUCGAAGAGAAAGAAUCCACCUCCUGUCGACAAGCACACAGACUAACAAACAACAAGCACAAAUGAUUUUAUUAUUUUGCCGGGGCGGUUACAACACUUGGGGUAGGGCCAAAACAUGUGCUACACGACCGGUACAACAACACAACUGGGGGUACAAAUCUAGACUCGGGACAGCUUCUGGAGUACAACUCUGGACCACGGACCAUGACGACUCCACUCCCUUGGGCAAACUCUGGGCUGGGCACUCUACUCGCGGGACGAAUCUGCACACUGCGCGGAGUGGUCUUCUGGCGGAAUAAGGAGGGCCAGCACCUCGUCUCUUAGGGUCCCACCUGCGGGAGGGGGUUCAUUGGCCACCUCAGAGUCCCUUUCCGAAGGCGGUGGUGCUGGUGUGGCAUUGGGGCUCUUCCACUUUCCGGACCCCUGGGCAACAGGGACUCCAUCCAAUACUGGGGCCUCGUCGUCGUCCACGAUCCGCAUCUUCCUCCUUGUGCGGUUCGAGUGGUGGACUUCCUUCAGUGCCUGCGCGUGCCGGUCCUCGGCCUCUUUGAGGGCCUCGAUGGCGAGGGCCUCAUUGCUUUGGGCGGCCGCGGCUCGGGCUUCAGCUGCUGCCAAUCUCAGCUGGAGCCUCCUCACCAUAACCUCGGCAUCCUCUGCUCUGCGGAUCUGCUGCUUCAAAUGGGCGGCCUGCUCAUCGCAGAGUUCAUCCAAAGUGAGGAGAUAGGCAGCCAUAUGGAGCACGGUGGGGUCAUCCUCGCGCUGUCCACGUCCCUCCAAAGUCCUCACCCGGGCCAGCCAAACCGGGCGGUUCUUCUUGACAGGCGGGUAGAACCUCAUCGGUGUGCGUCCGAUGUGUCUCUCAUAAAUUUCGCACAGGUAUCGCAGGGCUUUCCGAGCUGCCACCUGGUAAGUGUCUUUCCACUGGAAACCAGUGGCAGACACAUUCCAAGGCUGAAUGUCGAGGAAGCGGCUGCUCCUGCCCACAAAGAUGGUCAUCUCGCACCGGAGAGUCCCACGGUCCUCAUACUCCCUGCUGGAGUACUCCGGGCGCUCGUAAAUCCCGAGGCGGUCCAUGCAGGCGAACAGCAACCUGGGAAAACCGGGCUCCUCCAGGCAGUGGCUGUUGGUCCAUCCUUCUUCGGCCAUCUGGAAAGAAUCGGGGUGUAAAUCAGUUUUGCAAAUGAGCAGGGGUAGCAAGAAAUUUUGUAAAACAUUUAAUUUGGUCAAAAAGGCUUUUCCGGUCCUAAUGGUUACAUCCUACAGCCAACGACAGCUCUGAUACCACCUGAAGCGUCCCCACAUAAGUAGAGACUAAAUGUGAUCCAAUUUAUCAGUCCCAGGAGGCUGAUAACACAUUUAUUCAACAGAUAGUUCAGAAACCGUACAACUCCCGAAGGAGCGGGCGGGCAAGCAACACCCAAAGCAAGACUAAAGCGAUAACAAUACAAAUCCAAGUUGCAGUCCAGUCGGACUCCGGGCUGCAAUUGGAACUAAGCGUCAGCGGAAGCAUCCUGCAAAAGGGCCAACACCGCAGGCAGCGUUGGGUGCAGACGCAACCUCCUACUCGAAGUCCUCGGCGACGAAGUCCGGAUCCUCCUCUGAAGUAACAACACAAGGGUGAGUACAAAGGUACUCAGCAAGUCCAACCCCAUCCACGGAGGGGGAAUACAACAAGAAUAUGCAUAUGAAUAAUCAAGGAUUAAGCUAUGGUUUAUUUGCAGUAAAGCUAAGUUUUAGACACAUGCAGGGUUCCAUUUCAAAGAAGUUUCAUGAAAACAUUUUAGUAAACGAUAUAUCAAGUGGGGUUGAUCCUACACAAAGGAUCCAAGUUUUAUCGCUACCGGACUCCCCGUCCGCCGUAGCGCACGGCACACCAGCCGGACACUUCCAAAAUUCCACAUACCCACACACGCAGUAAAAUACCAGUCAUCCCAAAAGCUAGUUGUGUGACCGAGUCGUAACUCGUCCAAUGCCGUGGACACGGCUACCCGGAUAGGUUUUAACUCUGCAGAGGUUGUACACUUUUCCCACAAGUAGGGUACCGUAUCGCGAUCACCUUAGUGUCGGUACGGAUCCUAACAAAGCCAUUAC